rnacentral:lncRNA from 1 species
UCAUUAGUACCUCAGGAAAAAGCUACUGGACACACUAACUCUAGAUGCGGUACCUACUAAGAACCAAUUGUUCCAGCAAGAGGAGUAGGAUAUCAAAUGAGGAGUGACUUUCAAAACCCAAUUUUAAGCAUAAUCUGUUAUGGUUUCUAAACUCAUGAUUAAAAACUUAAUAACUACCAGUUGGCAAAUGGAUAAAUGCCAGAGGUUGGGAGAAAGAGAAGAGCGUGUUAUCUCCCCAGUAGCCCAGCAAGCUUGUGUGGAUGGUGUGGGGGCCUUCCUAGCUGU